rnacentral:rRNA from 1 species
UACGGAGGUGGCUAGCGUUGUUCGGAAUUACUGGGCGUAAAGCGUACGUAGGCGGAUUGGUAAGUAGGGGGUGAAAUCCCCAGGCUCAACCUGGGAACUGCCUUCUAGACUGCAAGUCUCGAGGUCAGGAGAGGCGAGUGGAAUUCCGAGUGUAGAGGUGAAAUUCGUAGAUAUUCGGAGGAACACAAGUGGCGAAGGCGACUCGCUGGACUGAUACUGACGCUGAGGUACGAAAGCGUGGGGAGCAAACAGG